AAUCAACGCUGGCGGCGUGCCUAACACAUGCAAGUCGAGCGGGAAAGGGGGCUUCGGCCCCUGAGUAUAGCGGCGGACGGGUGAGUAACACGUGGGUAAUUUGCCCUUGGGUGUGGAAUAACUCAGGGAAACUUGAGCUAAUACCGCAUGACAUCCCCUUCACACACGAGUCGGGGAUCAAAGCCGGGGACCCUUCGGGGCCUGGCGCCUGAGGAGAAGCCCGCGCCCGAUUAGCUAGUUGGGAGGUAAUGGCUCACCAAGGCUUCGAUCGGUAGCCGGCCUGAGAGGGCGGACGGCCACACUGGGACUGAGACACGGCCCAGACUCCUACGGGAGGCAGCAGUGGGGAAUUUUGUCAAUGGGGGAAACCCUGAACAAGCAACGCCGCGUGGAGGACGACGACCUGGUGUAACU
rnacentral:rRNA from 1 species